rnacentral:piRNA from 1 species
UAGUCAAACAAAGAUAUUGGGUACCAUAAA